CUUGGCAGCUGGAAGACACAACCCAUAUUCAACAGACCACUACUAACGUCUUUUGAACAAGGAUGAGGGGUAGCCACAUGAUCAUUGUUGGUCUUGUUCUUCUGGUGUUAGCCUCAGGUACGGCGACAGCAGCGACAACGGGCGGAUCUCUAACUGGAAUAAAUUGCGUCGUCAAAACCCCUAUGCCUUGUGAUGAAAUCAAGAGAUGCGUCGAUACCUGCAACUCCUUCUCUCCGGUGCAUGGCAAACCUGAAAUUAGUUGCGUUGACAAACAGUGUAAAUGCACAUUUUGUUGAAGUUUGACAUGAAUCUACAAGCAAGGCAUAUAUUUCCUUGUUAUCAGAGUAGUAGUAAUAGUAAUCAUUGAGUGUGUAUUGGCAAUAUUUGAUACCAGCGGUGUUCUCAAAACAAUAAAUGGCAUGAAGAAAAUACAAUUGUGUAUGAAACAUCAUGUAUAACCAAAUCGGUAGCAGCGGGUUGUUGCUAUCUUAUCCA